rnacentral:rRNA from 1 species
AUUGAACGCUGGCGGCAUGCCUUACACAUGCAAGUCGAACGGUAACGCGGGGCAACCUGGCGACGAGUGGCGAACGGGUGAGUAAUGUAUCGGAACGUGCCCAGUUGUGGGGGAUAACUGCUCGAAAGAGCAGCUAAUACCGCAUACGACCUGAGGGUGAAAGCGGGGGAUCGCAAGACCUCGCGCAAUUGGAGCGGCCGAUAUCAGAUUAGGUAGUUGGUGGGGUAAAGGCCCACCAAGCCAACGAUCUGUAGCUGGUCUGAGAGGACGACCAGCCACACUGGGACUGAGACACGGCCCAGACUCCUACGGGAGGCAGCAGUGGGGAAUUUUGGACAAUGGACGCAAGUCUGAUCCAGCCAUGCCGCGUGCGGGAAGAAGGCCUUCGGGUUGUAAACCGCUUUUGUCAGGGAAGAAAAGGCUCCUUCUAAUAUAGGGGGCUCAUGACGGUACCUGAAGAAUAAGCACCGGCUAACUACGUGCCAGCAGCCGCCGUAACAC